CAGCAAAACAUUUAAUGAACAAAUCAGCUGCCGAGAGACCAGAAAGAGCUAAGUGGGCAAGACCAGUAGCAGUUCCAGAAAAACCGGACAAAAAUUCCUUCCAGUAUCUCCUUUUCCGGGGUCCAGUCAUACCCGUAACGUUAACUAAACUGCCCGUUUUAAUUUUUGAUUUGUCCGACGAGAUUCUUUAGCGGGCAGAUGCAAGUCCCCGGCCACACUGUUCCGCUAUUUAUUAGAAAAGGCCCGCAGGGGACGUGAGUCUUUAAAAAAAAACUAAAAACCGGUUCUUCUUUUUUCUUUUGGUUCGUGAAACGGAAAAGAAGAUGGACUCGGGAGUCAGCCGGGCGACGACGUCGUCAUCAUCAUCAUCAAUAAUAUAACCAGCACCACACAAAAGAGUUUUUAAAGAUUGCCAGCAGCAGCAGCAGCAGCUGGAGUUGAAACGUUUCCCACACAUCACUACGGAAUCUGGAUGCGUUUUUCUCUUUUCUCGGUACCCUUUCGGUGAUAUUUGGUGGUCGGACCACCACCACCACCACUACCACCGCCGCCAUUCUGAGAAAAUAAAAGAUUCUCUUCUAUUUCUGUCGCCUCAUUAUCGAGAUAAGUUCCCCCGAAAAAGUUUCCCAUGACAUCCCCCAGCUCAGACUGCUGUCCGUCAUUUGUGUUGUUGAACAACAGCCUGGCGGAACCAUAGACCUCAUCCAUCGCUCCUCACUCCCCGAAAUGAACAAAAAAAAAAAGCGGACAUUGUGCUACUACUAUCCUAUCCAUCUCUAUCUCGAAUGAACAUGUAUACACGAAAAAUGUAGUACACCCACAAUUGUUGAUGAGAGAGAGGGGGCCCGUCUCUCUCUCUCUCCAACCGGACACGGAAUUUCGCCCCGGAGCGAGGAUUACCUGUCUCUCUCUCUCUCUGCGGCUAACGCCCUCUCAGAGUGCGUAUUACAUCCAGGCAACCAACUGGCAUUCGCUCAUUCGUUACAGACAGCGUCGGGUGUUGUUUAAGAUAGUCGUAGGGAUUCAUCGCCAGAGCGCGAGUGCCUCUUAGCUCGGAGAACCUCCAAAACUCGGGAAAAUGGGAGAUAUUUCCGCUGUUGUUUUAUUUUCGUUCAACAUUUUUUUCGAGCAGUUGCCAGUUGGGACGUCGAGCUGGGAGGACGCCGAUGGAGAGACGGGAACGACGCCAAAGUACUCAGGAUAGGAGGGCGGACGGAUGACGAUGGCGCAUCUAUUAACGGAAUUGACUCUUUAAACCUGAAAUGGGGGUCCUGUCGCUGUUGGAUUUCCUAAUUGAAUCCAUUGCGAAAAAGGCACGUGAGAAACGUCGAGGAUAACGGACCAGUCGAUCGGCGGAAAACAAAUUAAAUAAUAAAAACGAGGGUCCCAAAAUGUCAAAAGUAGAAAUCAAAAGUGGAGUAAAUGAGCUCACCUGGACUUGGUAGACGUACUCGUCCUCGCUGCUGCUGUUGCUGCUACUACAUUCACUACUCCUACUACUGGAAGAACGGUUGAUAUCGUGUCUCUAAAAGAAAAUGUCAAGAAAAAAAAUAAAAAUAAACAUAACGGAAACAAUUAUCGGGAAAAAAAAAUACACUUGCAACCAUUUUGUGUGUCUUCAAAUUGUUUCGUAAAAAAAAAAAUAGAAAAAUGGGAAGAGAAAUUCAUUCUGCCGGAAUCGUAUAAAAUAAGGUAAGUAGAAUCUUAAUAUUUAUAUCCAAUACACGAGUCUGAAAUUAAAAAGUUUUUCUGGAAGUCCUUAAAAAAUUCAUUUCUUCCUUCCCGAAAAAAAUGUCGUCCACACAUAAACGACCCGUUCAAAUAAAUGUUUGAAACGA